rnacentral:rRNA from 1 species
GAUGAACGCUGGCGGCGUGCCUAAUACAUGCAAGUCGAGCGAACAGACGAGGAGCUUGCUCCUCUGACGUUAGCGGCGGACGGGUGAGUAACACGUGGAUAACCUACCUAUAAGACUGGGAUAACUUCGGGAAACCGGAGCUAAUACCGGGUAAUAUAUUGAACCGCAUGGUUCAAUAGUGAAAGACGGUUUUGCUGUCACUUAUAGAUGGAUCCGCGCCGCAUUAGCUAGUUGGUAAGGUAACGGCUUACCAAGGCAACGAUGCGUAGCCGACCUGAGAGGGUGAUCGGCCACACUGGAACUGAGACACGGUCCAGACUCCUACGGGAGGCAGCAGUAGGGAAUCUUCCGCAAUGGGCGAAAGCCUGACGGAGCAACGCCGCGUGAAUGAUGAAGGUCUUCGGAUCGUAAAACUCUGUUAUUAGGGAAGAACAAAUGUGUAAGUAACUAUGCACGUCUUGACGGUACCUAAUCAGAAAGCCACGGCUAACUACGUG